rnacentral:snRNA from 1 species
GUCCUCUUCGGAGACAUCGUAAAAAUUGGAAUGAUACAUAGAAGAUUGGCAUGGGCCUUGCGCAAGGAUGACACGCACAAACAACUGUUGAAAUAUGUACUU